UCCGGGAUAGCUCAACCGGUAGAGCAGGCGGCUGUUAACCGCAAGGUUCGGGGUUCGAAUCCCCGUCCCGGAGCCA
rnacentral:tRNA from 1 species